rnacentral:rRNA from 1 species
UACGGAGGGCGCGAGCGUUGUCCGGAAUCACUGGGCGUAAAGGGUGCGUAGGCGGCGCGGUAAGUCGGGUGUGAAAUCUCGGGGCUUAACUCCGAAACUGCAUUCGAUACUGCCGUGCUUGAGGACUGGAGAGGAGACUGGAAUUUACGGUGUAGCGGUGAAAUGCGUAGAUAUCGUAAGGAAGACCAGUGGCGAAGGCGGGUCUCUGGACAGUUCCUGACGCUGAGGCACGAAGGCCAGGGGAGCAAACGGG